AUCACUAGCCAUAUCACCCUGCAAGGAACAUCUGGCAGCCCAAUGAAGCUCAGCAGGUGUGAGCCUGGCCAGUACCUGGAUGGUAGACCUCCUGGGAAAGCUAAGGUUGCUGCUGGAA
rnacentral:rRNA from 1 species